AGGUAGGCACCCUUGCCUUGACGGGGGGGAGUAUCCUCUUUAGACUCUUGUACCCCUAAAUUGGCGGGGCCUCGGCCCUGCCACUUUUGUUUAUGUCGAAAGACAACAGUGGAGCUAGUAGA
rnacentral:sRNA from 1 species